UCUCAAGUCACCGCACUUCGCUUCGAAGCUCGAACUUGCUGAUCUUAUCACCCGAUUGGGGAAUUCAAUGAGCCGUUUCUUGAUUCCGCGAGACAAUACGAUGAUGGGAUGGAUCCUUCCGACUAUAAUUUCAAGCAAGACGAGUUUAAUUCUCUUAAGGACGAGUUGAACAAAAGAAAGAUCGAGCUGUAGCUCUCAAGGUUUACGUGCAUUUGUUGACAGACAUAUGAUGAGUAUACUCUCGAUGAAUUGUAUAAAGUGACCGAUGAAUACACAGAUCAUUACCGCAUCUAGUUUCUCGCAAUGGUUUCCAUGUCUUAAACUCAGCAUUGUCCUUAUUGGAGCAAUGCUCAUGUUUGCAGCAUAUACUUGUCUCAGGUGACUUCUGGAGCUAUGAUUGAUACAUAGCCUUGUAGAGUGCCCGCUUUCUCGGUCGGACAUUUUCAUAAGGGCGUGACAACGGUUCUGCGUUCAUUUUUCAAUUGCAAAGGCUGCUACUUUAAGGACCAAACGGUUCGAGUCCCCACCUGGUGGGGUGAUGGGGAGGGGAAUGCACUAGACCGUCUUACCCCUACUUUUAUGCAGAGAGGCUAAUUCGAACCGGCGAUCUCAGACUCCACGGCAGGUGGUUUCACCGCUGAGUCAAGUCGGUCCUUCAAAAGGGUGUCGGUCCUUCAAAAGGCUACUACAUUGCUGCCAUAAAAAGGGUUAGUACCAAAAACUCAUCCGAAUGAUUUAUUCAAAGCUUAUCCGAAUCUUUUGGUUUGAUUACAUUGAGUUUUGUCAACAUUUUCUGGUUAAGAAACACUGUUAUAUACAAUCGUCGUGUUGUGUUGCAUAUGUAUAUAGUCGUAUAAACUUUUGUCUUGCAGCACUUGUGGUGGCUUUUGCUGGAUUUUUUCGGUUAAAAAAAUGGGUUUUUUGUAUGCAUCUGAUGAUGCCCAUCA